rnacentral:rRNA from 1 species
GACGAACCGUACGAACGUUAUUCGGAAUCACUGGGCUUAAAGGGUGCGUAGGCGGCGCGGAAAGUUGGGUGUGAAAUCCCUCGGCUCAACCGAGGAACUGCGCCCAAAACUACCGCGCUUGAGGGAGACAGAGGUGAGCGGAACUAAGGGUGGAGCGGUGAAAUGCGUUGAUAUCCUUAGGAACACCGGUGGCGAAAGCGGCUCACUGGGUCUCUUCUGACGCUGAGGCACGAAAGCUAGGGGAGCAAACGGG